AUUGAACGCUGGCGGCAGGCCUAACACAUGCAAGUCGAACGAGUGGCGGACGGGUGAGUAAUGUCUGGGAAACUUCCAGAUGGAGGGGGAUAACUCCUGGAAACGGUCGCUAAUACCGCAUACCAUCAGAUGUGCCCAGUUGGGAUUAGCUAGUUGGUGGGGUAACGGCUCACCAAGGCGACGAUCCCUAGCUGGUCUGCGAGGAUGACCAGCCACACUGGCACUGAGACACGGUCCAGACUCCUACGGGAGGCAGCAGUGGGGAAUAUUGCACAAUGGGCGCAAGCCUGAUGCAGCCAUGCCGCGUGUAUGAAGAAGGCCUUCGGGUUGUAAAGUACUUUCAGCGGGGAGGCGUUACCCGCAGAAGAAGCACCGGCUAACUCCGUGCCAGCAGCCGCGAUAAUAC
rnacentral:rRNA from 1 species